UUCACAAAGUUUUUGAUUCGGCUAAGAACAUUUUAAAAGAGAAAAUAAAUGAAUUCAAUAUGGUAUGCAGCAUUAAUACCUUAAGAUUCAAUUCGACAAAAUCUACCGUAAUUCAUUUGAAUAAUAGAAGACGUCCAUUAAAUAUAGUAUAUAACAAUGAAACACUAAAAGAGCAAUAUCGGCUAAUUCAUUUUCUUUUAUGUGUACAUGGCUUGGAAUGUAAUGAAAUUCCACUACGAGCAAACAGGGAGCGUUUUCAAUUUUGUUUAUUAUUUCUUUGGCAAUGUAAUUAUCUGGGUUGAUCUUGUUUAAAUUUAAAACCCCAUUGAGACUAUCAGUGAGGAUUGCAGUUUUAAGAAAGUUUUCGGAAAUGGCAAAGUCAAUGGUCCUAUUAAUGGCUAUAAGCUCAGCUAUAAAAGCACAACCCACGUUAUUGUCAGUGACUGAACCAUCCGUGAAAAUUCAAUUGAACUGUUUAGAUUUCAAAUGAGUUAGUUUUUCUUGAGCUAACGAAUUUAUGAGAGCAUUACUUGCAGAUCUUUUGUUUGGACAUGAGCCCUUAAAAAAAGCUGUGUUGAAAUUUUGUUGUUAAAACUACAUACAUCUGUGAUCGGUACAAUUGCAUUCAAAAUGUCUUUAAACUCGUCGUAGACUUUGGCGUAGCUGGUAUUCCGUGA